AGAAUCAACGCUGGCGGCGUGCCUAACACAUGCAAGUCGCACGAGAAAGGGGAGCAAUCCCUGAGUACAGUGGCGCACGGGUGAGUAACACGUGAAUAAUCUACCUCCGAGUGGGGAAUAAACUGAGAGAAAUCUUAGCUAAUACCGCAUAAUACCCACGGGUCAAAGCAGCAAUGCGCUUGGAGAGGAGUUCGCGGCAGAUUAGUUAGUUGGCGGGGUAAUGGCCCACCAAGACGAUGAUCUGUAUCCGGCCUGAGAGGGCGCACGGACACACUGGAACUGAAACACGGUCCAGACUCCUACGGGAGGCAGCAGUGGGGAAUUUUGCGCAAUGGGGGAAACCCUGACGCAGCAACGCCGCGUGGAGGAUGAAGCCCCUUGGGGUGUAAACUCCUUUCGAUCGGGAAGAUAAUGACGGUACCGAUAUAAGAAGCCCGGCUAACUCGCGCCAGCAGCCGC
rnacentral:rRNA from 1 species